rnacentral:lncRNA from 1 species
UUCCCUCUUAAGAUAAUAAGUUAUUGAUUGAGGUUGAUAAACUCACAUGUAUAUCUGCUGGAGCAUUAUCCUUUUUCUAACCCCAACAAACCUUUUAUAGUCCUAAGCCUUCUCUAAUUUUCCAGUAAAGAUGACUGCUGUUAGUACUACUCACACUAGUCUUCCUUCAAAAGGCUUAUUUGAUAUAUGCGCAACUUCCCACUUUAAACCUGCCCCUCCUACUGCCCUUCUCACUUUAAACCUGCCCCUCCUUUCACACUUCUCCCCACCAAAAAAGAAAAAGGAGAGAGAAUGAAAGCAAGCAAAAUAAAGAAUACUAUGUAAAUGAAAAAGGAAAGGACACACCGUUAAAUUUUCUUGUUCCAUAUGCCAUUUUUAUUCUACUUCUCAAAAAUUGUAGAGGUAAUAAAACUAUGAUCUAUUCAUAGAUGUACAUGAUAUGUUCAAUGAAAC